ACAUUGGUGGUUCAGUGGUAGAAUUCUUGGUUUCUACGUGGGAGACCUGGGUUCUAUUCCCAGCCAGUGAC
rnacentral:tRNA from 1 species